GACGAACGCUGGCGGCGUGCUUAACACAUGCCAGUCGAACGGAAAGGCCCUGCUUUUGUGGGGUGCUCGAGUGGCGAACGGGUGAGUAACACGUGAGUAACCUGCCCUUGACUUUGGGAUAACUUCAGGAAACUGGGGCUAAUACCGGAUAGGAGCUCCUGCUGCAUGGUGGGGGUUGGAAAGUUUCGGCGGUUUGGGAUGGACUCGCGGCUUAUCAGCUUGUUGGUGGGGUAGUGGCUUACCAAGGCUUUGACGGGUAGCCGGCCUGAGAGGGUGACCGGCCACAGUGGGACUGGGGAACGGGCCAGACUGCUACGGGAGGCAGCAGUGGGGAAUUUUGCGCGAUGGGCCGAAGCCUGAUGCAGGAACGCCGGGUGCGGGAUGACGGCCUUCGGGUUGUAAACCGCUUUCGCCUGUGACGAAGCGUGAGUGACGGUAAUGGGUAAAGAAGCACCGGCUAACUACGUG
rnacentral:rRNA from 1 species